ensembl:lncRNA BAALC-AS1 BAALC antisense RNA 1
ACACUUCCCCAUGGAAACAGAAGUAGAUACAGGCAGGGGCAGGAACAGGAGCAGAGCAGAAGCCCAAAGAGACAGUUUAGGGGACAUAAAACAGCAAAAAUGGAUUUAAAGGAAAGCCCAGUCAUUCACACUUAGAAGAAUUCCUGGACUAACAAUUCUAAGCCAAGGCAGCUGCGGCAACGUUGAGGCAGAAUCAAAACCUGGGGAAAGACCUUAGGUAUUCAGAACAAAACAAUCAGCAGGCGGGUCUGCGGCAUUCUAAGAACAGACACUGGCAGGAACAAAGGUUACAGAAGUGAAUGACUCUAAGAAUCAAGCAAGACAUGGAGUGGCAGAAAAUUAAAUUCUGAAUCCCUAAAAGACAUGAUGCAAAGAUGACCUCCUCUCCCAAGGACAUGUCCUCAUCCUGCGCUGACCGUGUGUGGUCAUUUCAGAAAAAGCGAACAAUGGAGAACCUGCUUGAAUGAUACUUAGACCUGGGACAACUGAAAGGAGUUGCACUUAUACAAUUCGGUGCAGUGGAGUCCCCUGGGAGGAGCCCCAGUCACACGGGAAGAGACAGUCACAGCUGUAAUAAAUGAUGGCUAGCAUGUAUCAAGCACUGGCCGAGUCCUCAGCAUACAUUACAUUACAGAAUUCAGUGUGCACCUCAACACUCUGGGGGUGUAUUUUAUAGGAGAACUGUGGCACAAAGAGGGGUUUUGCAAUCCCAAGAAGAGUCAGCGUUUGAAUUUUGAAUUUAUGUGCAAAAGAGACAAAUAUGGCUAAAGGGCAUGGGCACACUCUCUCUGGGUCCCCGUGUUAACGAUUUUAGUAGCUUCUAUUUAAAUGGUGCUCUUUCUCUAAGAAGAUCAUUGGGUAUUUUCUGAAAGCUUACAUAAUGGCUGGAAGCCCCCUGCCUCUGCAAAGGAACACCUGAUUCAGAAAAGUAAACACCAUAACAGCAACCCAUUCAUCAGCUGCCCAGACUCACAACCAAGCAGACAUGCAGCGACUUUCCAAAAACCCUCAUUUCUGGCAUUACAGCCUGUGGCAAUAACAGAGUUAAGGAAAGAAAAAGUUUGCUAACCUCUGAUCUAGGACCUCUGGACCAGCAGCAUCAGCAUCACUUGGAAGCCUGUCAAACAUGCAGAAUCUCAGGUCCACCCCAGACCCACGAAAUUUCACUCUCCACUGACCUAGAGAACAUGGAGACACUGCAGGUUUUCUAGCUGCACUCCCACUACCAAAUCAGAAGUGCCUGGGGUGGGACGUUUGUUUGAGAUUCCCCAGGUGAAUCUGAUAUGCAGCCACUAGGGAAGCAGAAAGAUGAGUAAGGUGAUUACUGCCAGGUCUUCCUAUGGGACGGCAGCACCAGAUUCUCCAGCUGCUAGGAGAGUUAGCCGCUAAAGGAUCACAGCUGAGUGCCUCUCCAGGCACUGCUCCUGUGGAAGGAAAUGACCUUACCCAAGGUCACACCUACUUGCUAGGGGAAGACUGCAUCCAGCGCCUGGCCGAUACAGGGUAAAAAGGCCCAGUCUUCUCAAUUGCUGAAUGGCCAUCCCAGCUCCAGAGCUCCCCAGGGCAUCAGCUGAAGCCCCUAUUACAACAGCCAUUCCACUCCUCCCUCUGCCCUGGACUGUGCCCCUCACCCUAUUAGAGAAACUGGGAUGCUGACUGAAUUAUUAUUACAUUAGAGAAUUAAGAAGUUUUCAUUAAUUUUUAGGUGUGAUGAUGGUAUCAUGGUUAUAUAUUAGUUUGAAGUAUAUGAAAUUGCUAAUAUUACACUAUUUCAACCUACAAAAAUAACAAAAUGGUCCAAUCUAAUAUCUUUUUGGUCCAAUCUAAUAGAUAUGGUCCAAUCUAAUAUCUUUUUUAAAGAGUCCCAGUUUAUUAGAGAUUCAUACUGAAGUAUUCAUGGAUGAAGUUACAUGACUUGUGGAAUUUGCUUCAAAAAUGUUUAAUUGGCGAAGUGGAAUGGAGGCAGAGAUGAAACAAGCUUUGCAAUAUGUUGAUAAUUGUUGAAGCUGAUGAUGGG